AGAGUUUGAUCCUGGCUCAGGACGAACGCUGGCGGCGCGCCUAAAACAUGCAAGUCGAGCGAGAACCAGGGCUUCGGCCCUGGGGACAGCGGCGAACGGGUGCGUAACACGUGAGCAACCUGCCCCGAAGACCGGGACAAGCCGGGGAAACCUGGUCUAAUACCGGAUGCCCUCACCGGAUCGCAUGAUCUGGCGAGGAAAUGGAUUCCGCUUCGGGAUGGGCUCGCGGUCUAUCAGCUUGUUGGUGGGGUAACGGCCUACCAAGGCGACGACGGAUAGCUGGUCUGAGAGGACGAUCAGCCACACUGGGACUGAGACACGGCCCAGACUCCUACGGGAGGCAGCAGUUAGGAAUCUUGCGCAAUGGAGGAAACUCUGACGCAGCGACGCCGCGUGCGGGAUGAAGGCCCUCGGGUUGUAAACCGCUUUCAGCAGGGACGAAAUUGACGGUACCUGCAGAAGAAGGCCCGGCCAACUACGUGCCAGCCGCCGCGGUAAUAC
rnacentral:rRNA from 1 species